rnacentral:rRNA from 1 species
AACGAACGCUGGCGGCAUGCCUAACACAUGCAAGUCGAACGAGACCUUCGGGUCUAGUGGCGCACGGGUGCGUAACGCGUGGGAACCUGCCCUUAGGUUCGGAAUAACUCCCCGAAAGGGGUGCUAAUACCGGAUAAUGUCUUCGGACCAAAGAUUUAUCGCCUUUGGAUGGGCCCGCGUUGGAUUAGCUAGUUGGUAGGGUAAAAGCCUACCAAGGCGACGAUCCAUAGCUGGUCUGAGAGGAUGAUCAGCCACACUGGGACUGAGACACGGCCCAGACUCCUACGGGAGGCAGCAGUGGGGAAUAUUGGACAAUGGGCGAAAGCCUGAUCCAGCAAUGCCGGGUGAGUGAUGAAGGCCGUAGGGUUGUAAAGCUCUUUUACCCGGGAUGAUAAUGACAGUACCGGGAGAAUAAGCACCGGCUAACUACGUG